UUCCUUCUUUUGCAUUCAUAGCAAUGGAAUAACUUGGCCCAAGAAGUUAAAUCAGUAGUAAAAGAAUACCCAAAGCUCCGACUAACCCCAGGAAGAAAGGUAUUAGAAAUUCGUCCGACCAUCAAGUGGGACAAAGGGAAGGCCUUAGAAUUUUUGUUGGAAUCACUGGGUUAUGCAAAUUGUUCGGAUGUAUUUCCUAUUUAUAUUGGAGAUGAUCGAACCGAUGAAGAUGCAUUUAAGGUUCUAAGAGAAAGGGAGCAAGGCUUUGGCAUUCUCGUGUCUAAAAUUCCUAAAGACACCCACGCUUCCUAUUCUUUGCGAGAACCUUCCGA